GCGCAGCAGGCGCGAAUAUUCCGCAAUGGGCGAAAGCCUGACGGAGCGACGCUGCGUGCGGGAAGAAGGCCUUCGGGUUGUAAACCGCUUUUCUGGCUGAUCAAGUCCAUUUUAUUAUGGAUUGAGCGUAGGCCAGGAAGUAAGGGGCCGCUAAACUCGUGCCAGCAGCGGCGGUAAUACGAGUGCCCCAAGCGUUAUCCGGAGUUACUGGGCGUAAAGCGUCUGUAGGCGGCUUACUAAGUUUCUGGUUAAAUCCUAAGGCUCAACCUUAGGGCUGCCAGAAAAACUGGUAGGCUAGAGGAGUUGAGAGGUUGACGGAACUGGCGGUGUAGGGGUGAAAUCCGUUGAUAUCGCCAGGAACGCCGAAGGCGAAGGCAGUCAACUGGCAAUUCCUGACGCUGAGAGACGAAAGCGUGGGGAGCGAAUGGGAUUAGAUACCCCCGUAGUCCCU
rnacentral:rRNA from 1 species